CCGCGAAUCGCCCUUCGGGGUGCAGCAGGCGCGAAAACUUUACAAUGCCGGCAACGGCGAUAAGGGAACCUCGAGUGCCAGGUUACAAAUCUGGCUGUCGUGAUGCCUAAAAAGCAUUGCAUAGCAAGGGCCGGGCAAGACCGGUGCCAGCCGCCGCGGUAACACCGGCGGCUCGAGUGGUAACCGUUAUUAUUGGGUCUAAAGGGUCUGUAGCCGGCCGGGUAAGUCUCUUGGGAAAUCUGGCAGCUUAACUGUCAGGCUUUCAGGAGAUACUGCCUGGCUCGAGGCCGGGAGAGGUGAGAGGUACUUCAGGGGUAGGGGUGAAAUCUUGUAAUCCUUGAAGGACCACCAGUGGCGAAGGCGUCUCACCAGAACGGACCUGACGGCAAGGGACGAAAGCUAGGGGCACGAACCGGAUUAGAUACCCGGGUAGUCCUAGCCGUAAACGAUACUCGCUAGGUGUCGGCCACGGUGCGACCGUGGUCGGUGCCGUAGGGAAGCCGUGAAGCGAGCCACCUGGGAAGUACGGCCGCAAGGCUGAAACUUAAAGGAAUUGGCGGGGGAGCAC
rnacentral:rRNA from 1 species